rnacentral:rRNA from 1 species
AGCGAACGCUGGCGGCAGGCUUAACACAUGCAAGUCGAGCGGGCAUCUUCGGAUGUCAGCGGCAGACGGGUGAGUAACACGUGGGAACGUACCCUUCGGUUCGGAACAACUCUGGGAAACUGGAGCUAAUACCGGAUACGCCCUUAUGGGGAAAGGGUUACUGCCGCAGGAUCGGCCCGCGUCUGAUUAGCUAGUUGGUGGGGUAACGGCCUACCAAGGCGACGAUCCGUAGCUGGUCUGAGAGGAUGAUCAGCCACACUGGGACUGAGACACGGCCCAGACUCCUACGGGAGGCAGCAGUGGGGAAUAUUGGACAAUGGGCGCAAGCCUGAUCCAGCCAUGCCGCGUGAGUGAUGAAGGCCUUAGGGUUGUAAAGCUCUUUUGUCCGGGACGAUAAUGACGGUACCGGAAGAAUAAGCCCCGGCUAACUUCGUG